rnacentral:rRNA from 1 species
GUCGCUAACGUCAAACAACGCCGCUAUUAACGACGCCGCCUUCCUCACGACUGAAAGUACUUUACAACCAAGGCCUUCUUCAUACACGCGGCAUGGCUGCAUCAGGCUUGCGCCCAUUGUGCAAUAUUCCCCA